CAGACCAUGUAUAAAUGACGUAAUGUAUCGGUAUGAGCGCGUGUGAUUGGUUGCCUUUAUUUGUCUCAUAAUGGCCGCUCUGUUUGCACACAGUUGCUUCCCGUCUAGCAUUUUUGACGAAAAUUUUGGUAAUAUAGCAAGGGAAAUGUGCCAGUGUUUAGCUUUUUUGACUCUGACAUCUACCUGGCAGGGAAAUCAAUAUAGAAAGUGUUGCGGAGAGGUUGCCAAGGCAAAGCACGGCAAGGAAAGGGUGUUCUGCCCAGAUUGCGAAAACGGCCUGUUUACAACUGGGACAACCGGAUUAUGUACACAUGAUCCGAUUAUGUUUUUUUUGCACUGGUUAUGUAGUGGUGACCGGAUUAUGAACGCUGAUAUAAUGGCUGGCCAGGCAGGCUGUGAUUGGCAUUUUCUUCGAACUUUUGUGAAUUAAACAUUCUCUGGAAGAUAGAACACCCCUAAAAACUAGAGAUGGCGGAAGAAAAAAGUCUCGACGUAUAGUUUAAAACUAAUCUUGUAGUAAAUACAUUUCAGCAUAAUAUACUUUGAAGUAACUAAAUUUCACGGAACCUAAAUUAUUUUUUUUGCGGGAAUUAAGUUUGGUGAAAAGUUAUUAAACUUGCGAAUCCCAAAAUUUAGUAUUUGCCGCGAAAUUUCGUUUCAUUUGAGAGCAACAACAACUUUGCCACCAGGGCUAUUCGCUUGUCAGAGAAGUGAUGACGAAUGAUAUAAAAGCGGUCGGCCCCGAUUAUAUUUGUUCUAUAAGUCUCGAAUAAUAUUUGACUGUGUCAUACAUAAGUCGGCCUGCCUGAUUAUGUUCGUUCUAUAAUAAAUGAGAAAUAAUAUUACACUGUCGUAUAUAAACUGGCCUGCCCUGAUUAUAUGUCCCUUUUAUAAGUGCCAAAUAAUAUUUUUUGAGUAAUAAGCCGGCCUGUCCUGAUUAUGUUGCCCUGAUUAUGUAUUUUCUGCCCUGUUCUUAACCGGUGCAAGCUGCCGUACUUAAUCAGGCCAAUGUUCAUUAUCCGGGCAGAACAAGGGCACGGCAAAGGCAGGCAAGGAAACAGGAAGAGGAAUCAGCAAGGCAGGGGUAGGCAAGGCAUAGAGGCACAGGCAAGGGCAUAGAAGCCAGGCACCAGAAAAGGCAUAGGAAGGGUAGGCAAAGGCAGGCAAGGAAACAGGAAGAGGAAUCAGCAAGGCAGGGUUAGGCAAGGCAAGGGAACGGCAAGGCAGGGGCAGGCACCUUAAUAGAGAAUCCCCUACAACUCAAAGAUUUGUAUACUCGAUAUAUCUAAGAUAUGUAUCAUAUUAAUCCAGGAGUAUAGAAAAUAUUGAGAUGCAAAUAUUUCAAAUUCAGUAGCUCAAACAAAGCUCUCAAAUUUAUAUCCGGUCAAUAUAUAUACAGUGAAUCAUGUUAGCAGAAUUAUGUGCCAAUACAAAUAUUUAAACAAUCGGUCAUAACGCCAAAAAAACUAUCAAUUUUUAAUAAAUCUGAGAUUAAAAGUUAACUUGGUUCCAAUGACAACAACAUUAAAAAGUCAAGAUAUAGAAAUAAUUAGAGAAGUCCACGAAAAAGGCGAAACAUUUACCUGGUUGUUGUAAGUGCAAGAUAAUUAUGUUUUUCCUAGCCCUGUCCAGGAUUUGAACCUGGAUCUCUCAUUUGCAUGAGUGUCAUAGCCAUUAGACCAACAGGGCAUGAUUUUAUAUAUAUGCUCACAGUCUUUUUACUAAAAAAUAUGGCACCUAGUUUGGUAUAUUUAACACGAGGGUGCCGAUAAGCCGCAUACGCCGUAAAAAGUGCGGGCGUUUUCGGGCGAGUUCGGCGUUUUGAAAAAAAUUCAGGUAUUUGCCUGAAAAAACCCGCAUAGUCCCGAACAAUGCCCGAAAAAAAAAAGAUUCACCACAAAUGACUCUCGAAGAAUUAUUUAAAAAAGUAUAAAAAUUAAAAUGAACUAACAGUGAUAGUGAAGUUCUUAAAAGAACUGUUUUUUAUGAUUUGUGAUAAGAUUUACUUGAUAAAUAACUUAUAUAUAAACUUUAUUAACUCCUUUCUCUUCAAACGCAUUCUUUUAACUGUCGUCCGCCAUGUUUAUGUUACAAGGUGUUGCAUUUCGGGAAUGUUCCGGGCGAGUUCGGGCGUGUUCGGGAAAGUGCAGGCGGUUUCGGCCGACAACCGUCAAUUUAAUUCGAAAAGUCGCCCGGGCGUUUGCGGCUUCGGCACCCUCUUUAUUUAGCUAGAAAAUCUGAGCCACUAAAUUAUGUUUUAUGCUUUAGUUAGGGAGCUUUUUAGGGGUGUGAAUGACCUAAAAGUGAAAAAAUAGUGAUAGCUCUACAUAACCUUCCAUUUUCACUAUAUUUUUUAAAAUAAAUACUAUGGACAAGGUUGCAAAAAACACAUUAUGGAGGUUGCAUUUAUUCUUUUAUUUAUAAAAAAAGUCCAGGCUCUUCUGCUAAAAAGAAUAUAUGUCUAUACCAAUGUUCUUUUGCUGAUUUGGCUAAACUUUUGGUUCUUAGUUUUUUGUCUAAAAUUGUUAGAACCAACAUAUUUUGUGGAUAAUUGUAGAUAUUUGAUGGUACUUUCCUAAUCAGAGCAUAAUUAACUCAUUGUGCAGUAUGUGUAUGACUAGAAAAUAUGUCUUAAGGAUCAUUUAAAUCUAGCUACAUAGCUAAUUUUAUGCCGGCCAAGUAGCCAGUUUUAUGUCAGUUAAGUAGCUAGUGAGAAAAACAGUUUUGUGCUGGUUAACUACCUAGUUUAUGCUGCUAGCUAGCCAAUUUGGUAGUGUUAUACCAGCUUAUUUUGCCACAUAUGUUGGUAGUUAUUUGCUAGUUAGGUGUGGGUGAGAAGAGGUUCAUUACAUGUAAAAAAUAGUGAUAUGCUAGCUAGCUAUUCAUACUUCCCUCUUUCGUUUUCUUGAAAAUAUCAGUUCGUCCCCAUUUUCCGCUUGGCACCAUCUUUAAAAACAACAAACACUCCAUCGCUUUGCUCCUUGAUAAACACGUUGUCUCGCUUACUAUAAACUGUACUAAAGAAUGACCACAUUAAAUUGCUGGAUUACUGUGAUUUUUUGUUUGAAUUUUUAUAAUUCGGAUGUAUAGGGACGAAAUCGCAUAGAAAUGCUAUAUACUCUCCAUCGUACUUCUUUUCCCUUAUAUUUGGCUUAUAUAAUGAGGAAAUAGGCUCCGCUACGCUCCGCAAAAAUGCUUAAGCUUGGACCAGACAGAGAUCUUUUGUAUGGAUUUCUUCUCACAGAAACAUCGUUGGAGCAGAUUGAUGCCUUGUGAUUUAUUUGAAUCCAUUUAUAGUAUUACCAAUGCCUUUGUAUGGAUAAAUGGACUGAAGAUGGCCUCGUUUCACGUAUCGUUUCCAUUUUUUUCCAAAACACCCUGAUGUUGGAAAUGUACACAAAGGAAACCGUCUAUAAGAUGCUCAAAAAUUCUUGUUCUCUAAACAAGUGUAUUUGCUAGUUGGACCAAGCCUACAAAUCAGGGAUUCCGUGAUAAAGCAUAUACAGCCAAAGCUACGAUGCCGAGGACAGUAGAGAUAUAUCCCUAAAACAAGUGAAGUUUAUAAUUUUAUCCUAAAUUUUUAAUCUCUUUUUUAAUAGAUGAAUGUUGGUGCUGUUUUUUCAUUUUUUUCAUUUUUAAGUUCUAUUUUAUAUAUAAAAUGAUUUCGUCUAUUUUUUUUCUUCAAUGCAAAUUCAACUACAAAGUGUCUGUUCUUAUUUCAAUUUAAAAAGUCUUAAUAACACAAUAGUCGGACCCUUUUAUAUUACCAAAUCUGUACAUUCUUAUCAAUUCUUGUGUGCAAAAUUUGAGAGAAUUGUUCUAUUAGUUUGUCAUUUUUAUUUCUAGUGAAAUUUCAUAUUAGAAAGUGCAAUAGAAUAAAUAUGCAUUAUGCACAAUAAUUUAGUUAGUGAUUCUGAUCUAAAAUAAAAGUUUAUCAAAAGUUUAUUUGGAAACUGUUUUGAGCGACAUACCUAAUGUGAUUAUAAAUUACAUCAGCUUUAUUGACAUUAAAUCGCAAAACUGCAAAAGAUGCAUGAACCUAACUGUACUACCACAGACGUGGUUGUGCAAAAUAUUUCCUUGUCUAAUAUUGUUCUGACUGAUAUUUACUUAGUCGUUGUAUUUAUAAAAUAGAGUAUUGUGGCGCCGUAGAUUUUGUGGCGCCGUAGAUUAGUGGUUAUAGCUCUCGUACUCUGUGCGGGAGACCGGGGUUCGAUUCCUCUUGACGGCGAUUCAACAUGGGCGAGUGAAUGUUACCAUAGCCCCGGGUUAACCCAAGCCAUGUGAGGGAAAUUGGGAAGAUGGCACACUGUGUGGGCCGUUGGAUGUUGCCGGGAGUUGUCUAGUAGAGCGCGGGCUCCAAUUGGGUCUGCGUAGCUCAAAAUGAGCAUUAAAUACUCUAGGACUCUCCAUCUACGCCAUGGCCCCUCCUGGAAAUAAUAGACAGGGUAUAUCCCUCGAUAUUUGUGAGGCUAGCCAUGUAAAAUAUGCACAUCUAUCUAUCUAUCUAGUAUAAA